UGCGUUGACCCUCUUUACAGAUUUUCUUGCAGUUUUUGUCCGUAUUCUCAACAUCAUGUUGAAAAAUGCAUCGGAGAAAUCUGAAGACAAAAGAAGGAAGAAGAAAUCUUAAUUGGACACUUGUUACAGGCUAAAUGUAAUUAUGAACUUCGAGGGUGUGACCGCG